rnacentral:rRNA from 1 species
UACGAAGGGGGCUAGCGUUGUUCGGAAUUACUGGGCGUAAAGCGCACGUAGGCGGAUUUGUAAGUCAGGGGUGAAAUCCCGGGGCUCAACCUCGGAACUGCCUUUGAUACUGCAAGUCUUGAGUCCGGAAGAGGUGAGUGGAAUUCCUAGUGUAGAGGUGAAAUUCGUAGAUAUUAGGAAGAACACCAGUGGCGAAGGCGGCUCACUGGUCCGGUACUGACGCUGAGGUGCGAAAGCGUGGGGAGCAAACAGGG